GAGAUUUCCACGUGGUUGGGGGAUUGUUGGGGAACUGAAUUUUGCUUUGAUCAAGAGGCAUUGACUUGUCAGAACUACCAGCCCCUGAUGAAUAUGAACAGCUAUGGAGGCGAGACAUUGUGUGUGUCUUGGACUUGAUAAAGAAGUCAAGGGUGAGUGCACAGAGGUCACGGCUGGCGUAGCUCUCGAUGCAGCAGCAACAGAAACGCUAUCAGAAAACAUCUGCCUCCUCCCCCAAACAUGCCAGGUGUCAAACGCUCAGGGCUCAACAUGGCAGCCAUAUUCUGACACAGCUUUACUGGAUGGCUUGCCUCCUGAUCCCCCAAGGAACACUGAAGCAUGAACGGAUCAUAAAGCCACCAUGAGCAGCAUUGCAGGUUGUAUGAUUUGUGAUUCUCCAUUAUUUCCCCUUAGUUCCAUGGCCCCAGAAUCAUGUUCUUUGAGACAAUUCCGGUGCUAAUAUUAAGGAGCCAUGUACAAGGUGGAGAUAAUGAUGGCUAACAUAGAUUUAUUCAAGAGCAGAGUCCUGACACUCAAGGAGGAUGCAAAACAGGGCUAGUGAGGGUGUGGCUUAGGGAGAAAGGGUGUGGCCUAGGGAGAG